CCUGCAAAAUCGGCAGUGUAUCAAAUACUUGUUCUCCCCACUGUAUCAUGGAAUUUAUAAGAGUUUAAAAAUCAGGUCUGCUACAGUAUGACAGCCUUCAUACACAGCUCAGAUGAUGGAAAGGUCAGAGAAGUAACUUAAAGGCAAAUAAACAUGACCAAAGUUCACAAUGUCUUUAGAGUGACCAAGCCAAUGUGUGGCACAUAUAUUUAGAGUAGGCUCACAAUUCUUUUCAACUCAGUGGCCUAUGUUUAAACCCCAUGUAGGCCCAGUAAAAUAGAGAGACAAGGACUAAGAACAGAUUCUUGGCCACACAAAAAAGUUAAUUGAGGCAGUAGCAGCUAAGUCAGCCAGCAGUUUUAAUUAGCUGAACUCAGUCCAUAAAUAUCGAGCACAAGCCUUAAUGUUCUAAACUGAAUGUUUAGAAGAACAAGAAGUACAAGCAGAGCCAGAGACAGUAAGGUAAAUGAGACAGGUGAACAAGACAUCCAGUUGAGCACUCUGGUCUACUUUUUCCCCCUAAGCUGAAUAGAGUCUCGUUCUGAUGGCCCUGCCCAAUAUUUCAGUAGAUUUAUGCUGAUGGACAGUUUGUGCUGUGUACUACUACAGUAAUGUUUUCCUACCUUUAUAUAAAGCUAUGCAUCACAAUCAUGACAUUUUUUGAGAAUUUUGUAGUUAAGUCAAUCUAAAUUUCGAUCACCACUUUAUGUCCUGGUCAUUUGGACCAGUAGCUCCAAACUCAACCACUUUGUUUCCCGGUCAUUUGGACUAGUAGUUCCAAACACAACCACUUUGUUUCCAGGUCAUUUGGAUUAGUAUCUCCAAACCAGCCUGGUAAUAUAUACCCACUUAAGGGGCAUGUCUACAAUACCCUAAAACCAGUCUGGUAAUAUAGAACCCCUGAUGGGCAUGUAUACACUACCCUAUAACCAGCCUGGUAAUAAAGGUCUCCCUGAUAGGGCAUGUCUUCACUAACCUAAAACCAGCCUGGUAAUAAAGUCCCCCUGAAGUCACAUGCAAGCUCCUAUUGUAAAGAUUACAACCUAAUGGGAUCGUUCCAGUCCUUACUUGGUGUUUCCUGUUCUGUUUAGUUAAUUAGAUUAAUUACAUUCACCUGUGGUUCCACUCAUCUGUUUUGUGGUAGCCCAUCAGUAUGUGUAUUUAGUUCAGUCCUUUUCUCCCAGUCCUGGUGGGUAUUUCAUCAAGGCAGAUAAAGGAAAAGCUUGUUUAAGUGAGAGUCCCUCCUCAGUAACCUAGAUAACUUAUACCUCUGAACUAUGAUUGCCACCUUCAUUGUGGAAAAAUAAGGGACACCUUGCCAACAGCCCCAAGCACAGGGGACACAAAAGCAGGGGGUCUGGGGGUCCUCCCCGGUGAGAUUUUGUGUGUCAGACACUUAAUUUCCUGCAUUGUGUAUUUUUAUGCACCAAUUUGUGCUUUGUUUGCAUCAAUUUCAAAGUGCUCUGCUAUUCUCAACAUGAAGGUAAUGGAAAUAGAGUCAAUAGGAGUAAAGAACAGUUGCAUCAAUUAUAUUAAGGUUAAAAACAUUAGAUCAUAGGCAGGAAGUUUUUCAAAAUAAAAAAAUAAUUUGGUAUAUUUUGAAGAAGCAAGAACAGACCCUCCAGGAAGGGUGGGGUAGCCUAGCCUUUUCUGUUGCUGCUCCCAUGCUCUGGAAUAGUCAAUACAUUUAAAACUGUCAUUCCACCACUGAACAUUUUAAAUACAAUUUAAAGACCCCUCUUUUUCUCUUGCUUUUAGUUCAGUCUGAGGUUGUUCUUUGGUUUUUGUUAAAUCCACUCUUUACUUGUUUUUAACAUCCUCUUACUGUGUUUUAAUCAGUUGUUGGUUUUAUUCAAUUUCUCAUAACGUCUUAUCAUAUUACUUUAAUUAGAUUUUAUCAUUUUAGUUGUCUUGAGUGUUCUCCAUUUUAGUCUUGCCCUUUAUGUAUUAUAUGUACUGUUGUAUUAUAUUAUGUAUUGACUUUUAUGUAUCCUUUAAUCACGUAUACAGACCCGGCGGCAAGGCUUUGCCCCCAAAAAAUGGUUUGGGUAAUGCUUCCCAAUACUGUACUUCACUAAUUACUGUUGGGAAUAUAGGCUAGCUCUCUUGCCUUCCUCUGCAAAUGGAAUUGAAGAUGUGCUUUAAAUGAUGUGAUCACUAAGCUACAAAGAAUGUGAAACACAUGCCUGUCCAUGGAAAUCAAAAGCCCGUCCAACAUGCUUGUUCUAGCAUCCUGCAUGUAUGGGGUAAUUUUUGGAAUGUGAUAUUGCAUUCGGAAGAGCUGGAGGAAGUGUCUGGGGAGAGGGAAGUCUGGGCAUCUCUACUUAGACUGCUGCCCCCGCGACCCGGCCCCGGAUGAAGCGGAACAAGAUGGAUGGAUGGAUAUUGCACAUUCCAAUAUCCAAAGGCAAAAAUCUAUGUAUAACAUUUAUUACAAUUUCAAUUAAAUGUUGAUGACUAUUUUUAAAUGUUUUGUUAACUGUGCGGAAGUAUUAAUUUAAAAACAUUGAAUCAGUAAUAUUGAGCAAUUCAUUCAAUAUCAGUGCCAAUUGACUAUUAUACUAUAGUCUGUUAUAC
ensembl:lncRNA